GACGAACGCUGGCGGCGUGCCUAAUGCAUGCAAGUCGCACGCACCCCUCGGGGUGAGUGGCGCACGGCUGAGGAACACGUGGGAAUGUGCCCAUUGGUGGGGGAUAACGGGCCGAAAGGUCCGCUAAGCCCGCAUACGCUCGCAAGAGGAAAGGCGCAAGUCGCCGAUGGAGCAGCCCGCGGCCCAUCAGGUCGUUGGUGGGGUAACGGCCUACCAAGCCAAUGACGGGUAGCUGGUCUGAGAGGACAGACAGCCAGACUGGGACUGAGACACGGCCCAGACUCCUACGGGAGGCAGCAGCAAGGAAUUUUCGUCAAUGGGCGCAAGCCUGAACGAGCAACGCCGCGUGCAGGAUGACGGCUUUCGGGUUGUAAACUGCUUUUUGGGGGGACGAUCAUGACGGUACCCCCGGAAUAAGCCCCGGCUCACUCUGUGCCAGCAGCCGCAGUAAAAC
rnacentral:rRNA from 1 species